rnacentral:rRNA from 1 species
UACGAAGGGACCUAGCGUAGUUCGGAAUUACUGGGCUUAAAGAGUUCGUAGGUGGUUGAAAAAGUUAGUGGUGAAAUCCCAGAGCUUAACUCUGGAACUGCCAUUAAAACUUUUCAGCUAGAGUAUGAUAGAGGAAAGCAGAAUUUCUAGUGUAGAGGUGAAAUUCGUAGAUAUUAGAAAGAAUGCCAAUUGCGAAGGCAGCUUUCUGGAUCAUUACUGACACUGAGGAACGAAAGCAUGGGUAGCGAAGAGGAUUAGAUACCCUCGUAGUCCAUGCCGUAAACGAUGUGUGUUAGACGUUGGAAAUUUAUUUUCAGUGUCGCAGCGAAAGCGAUAAACACACCGCCUGGGGAGUACGACCGCAAGGUUAAAACUCAAAUGAAUUGACGGGGACCCGCACAAGUAGUGGAGCAUGUGGUUUAAUUCGAAGAUACGCGCAGAACCUUACCAACACUUGACAUGUUCGUCGCGACUCUAAGAGAUUAGAGUUUUCGGUUCGGCCGGACGAAACACAGGUGCUGCAUGGCUGUCGUCAGCUCGUGUCGUGAGAUGUUGGGUUAAGUCCCGCAACGAGCGCAACCCUCACUUUUAGUUGCCAUCAUUAAGUUGGGCACUCUGAAAGAACUGCCAGUGAUAAGCUGGAGGAAGGUGGGGAUGACGUCAAGUCCUCAUGGCCCUUACGUGUUGGGCUACACACGUGCUACAAUGGUAUCUACAACAGGAAGCAAGACUGCGAGGUCAAGCAAAUCCUUAAAAGAUACCUCAGUUCGGAUUGCACUCUGCAACUCGAGUGCAUGAAGCUGGAAUUACUAGUAAUCGUGGAUCAGCGUGCCACGGUGAAUGCGUUCCCGGGUCU